AAAAUGUUGCUGAACUUCUCAUCAAAAAAGGAGCCAAAGUUGAUGUUAGAAAUCUUGCGAAUCUAACACCUCGUCAGUUAGCUGUUAGGCAUGGUCACAAUAAUAUUGCAGAACAAUUGGAAUAGAUUCAAUAUGCUGCCAACAAUGGUGGCGAAUAGCUGAAUAAUCGGAUGAUUUCCUUCGAUUCCCGUUUUCGAUUGUCCUGUAGAAGAAUUAUUCCAAUAUAUUUUUUGUCAAUCUUUGACCAUAUCAAUUUGUGUGGUCAACAAU